rnacentral:rRNA from 1 species
GAUUAUGGCUCAGGAUGAACGCUAGCUACAGGCUUAACACAUGCAAGUCGAGGGGCAGCAUGAAACUUAGCUUGCUAAGUUUGAUGGCGACCGGCGCACGGGUGAGUAACACGUAUCCAACCUACCGUUUACUACGGGAUAGCCUUCUGAAAAGGAGAUUAAUACCGUAUGGUAUUCUAAAGUUUCAUGACAUUAGAAUUAAAGGUUUACCGGUAAUCGAUGGGGAUGCGUUCCAUUAGAUAGUAGGCGGGUAACGGCCCACCUAGUCAGCGAUGGAUAGGGGUUCUGAGAGGAAGGUCCCCCACAUUGGAACUGAGACACGGUCCAAACUCCUACGGGAGGCAGCAGUGAGGAAUAUUGGUCAAUGGGCGAGAGCCUGAACCAGCCAAGUAGCGUGAAGGAUGACUGCCCUAUGGGUUGUAAACUUCUUUUAUAAAGGAAUAAAGUGGUCCACGUGUGGAUUUUUGUAUGUACUUUAUGAAUGAGGAUCGGCUAACUCCGUGCCAGCAGCAGC